UCUCCGUAGGUGAACCUGCGGAGGGAUCAUUACCGAGCUCAUGCCCUUACGGGUAGAUCUCCCACCCUGUGUUAUUAUUACCUUUGUUGCUUUGGCGGGCCGCCAGGCUCCGGUCAGGCUAUCGGCUUCGGCUGGUAAGCGCCCGCCAGAGGACCCUAUAUCCUGAUUAUUAGUGUCGUCUGAGAACUAUAUAAUAGUUAAAACUUUCAACAACGGAUCUCUUGGUUCUG
rnacentral:misc_RNA from 1 species